CCUACGGGUGGCAGCAGUGGGGAAUAUUGGACAAUGGGCGAAAGCCUGAUCCAGCCAUGCCGCGUGUGUGAAGAAGGCCUUCGGGUUGUAAAGCACUUUCAGUGGGGAAGAAAGCCUUGGGGCUAAUACCCUCGUGGAAUGACAUUACCCACAGAAGAAGCACCGGCUAACUCCGUGCCAGCAGCCGCGGUAAUACGUAGGGUGCGAGCGUUAAUCGGAAUUACUGGGCGUAAAGCGCGCGUAGGCGGUCUGAUAAGUCGUUGUGAAAGCCCCGGGCUCAACCUGGGAACGGCAUCCGGAACUGUCAAGCUAGGGUGCAGGAGAGGAAGGUAGAAUUCCCGGUGUAGCGGUGAAAUGCGUAGAGAUCGGGAGGAAUACCAGUGGCGAAGGCGGCCUUCUGGACUGACACUGACGCUGAGGUGCGAAAGCGUGGGUAGCAAACAGGAUUAGAUACCCUGGUAGUC
rnacentral:rRNA from 1 species